rnacentral:rRNA from 1 species
AUGCUCUAUGAGGGAAAUAAUAGAUCAACACUUGCUUUUUUGCUCCUUUUGACCAGUUGUCAGGACCUCACCGGCAGAUCCCUCAGCUAUCAGGGAAAGCAACCAUCAGGGGAGAUUGAGGGUGCCUCUCCAGCGAGAGUGCUCGUGUCGUGGUGGUUUCCCACCAGCGGCAUGGGGGAGGCGGUGUCCUCUGCAGCUAGGUCUACAUGCUGGCAACCUCACCGUCACCAGCCCAUCUGCAGAUGGUCUGAAAACCAAGAUAUGCCACAGAUAAUAACUAUACGGGCUGCUCCAGAUGGACUAAGAAUGGAACCAUAUCCUAGGCCUACAUGCUAA